GAUGAACGCUGGCGGCGUGCCUAAUACAUGCAAGUCGAGCGAACAGACGAGGAUCUUGCUCCUCUGACGUUAGCGGCGGACGGGUGAGUAACACGUGGAUAACCUACCUAUAAGACUGGGAUAACUUCGGGAAACCGGAGCUAAUACCGGAUAAUAUAUUGAACCGCAUGGUUCAAUAGUGAAAGACGGUUUUGCUGUCACUUAUAGAUGGUUCCGCGCCGCCUUAGCUAGUUGGUAAGGUAACGGCUUCCCAAGGCAACGAUGGGUAGCCGACCUGCGAGGGUGAUCGGCCACACUGGAACUGAGACACGGUCCAGACUCCGACGGGAAGGAGCAGUAGGGAAUCGUCCGAAAGGGGCGAAAGCCUGACGGAGCAACGCCGCGUGAGUGAUGAAGGUCUUCGGAUUGUAAAACUCUGUUAUUAGGGAAGAACAAAUGUGUAAGUAACUAUGCACGUCUUGACGGUACCUAAUCAGAAAGCCACGGCUAACUACGUG
rnacentral:rRNA from 1 species